CAAGGAAAUGCGUUUCGCACGGGAAACCACGAUAACUCUUCCAGCCGUUCAUUCCAAUAGGUCUUGUUUUCGCAAUUUUUGACGCAGUUUUUUUAUGUUCUCGUUGUACAACAACGAAGACUUAAAACUUCAUUGCAAUUAUGAGUGGAGCAACGAGGGAAUCGAUUGUUGCAAGCAAUGAAAGUCAGUGCAUCAUCGAAGAGAAUCUCAAUCAACUUCUAUAUCGAUCUACCUCAAUUUCAACCACCAUUAAAUUUCGACCUAAAUCGCGGAUAAGUGAUUUCGCAGAACUUUUUAAAUAGUAAAUAAAUUUUUAAGUCCCUCCGAUCAUAUCGAGGACAAUUGGUAUUGUAUGAUUUUGGUUGUAGUUAUUUCGUAAAAAAGUAUUGAGUGACCGCGAUAAGAUAUUCUUUUUAUCAAUUUUUAGAUAUUUUCAGAUCAACUAUCAGAUCAAUUAAUUACCUUUUCUUGUUCGAAUAAGCCAGAGAUAGGACGAGUCGGGUAAUGAAAGCUUUUCUAAGAACGAUCUUCCGUAUUUUUAACAAAAAAGAAUAGUCCCUAUUUAUUGAAAAGCAUAGUCAUAUAAUAAUUAAAACGAUUAUACUAGUUCAAUUAUUCUAGUUUCUCUUUCUUCUUCUUUCAGCAAGGAAGUAUCUCAAAUCAAGUUCGAUUUCUUUCAUUAUGCUCGGAUAGAGCAAUCUUCAAGAUGUCUAUCCAUCGUUAUAUCACUUUUAUCGUUUUCACGCUCGUACGUACGUUCUAUCGCAUUUUCCGGCUUUUCUUUUUUUCCCCCUUCUUUUUUUCCAGGCUAAAUAAUCGAGGGAUGGAUUCAUCGGUGGGAUAGAAGAUAAUCGGUGAGGUUUCGUUGUAUAGUGCGGAGACUAUUGCACUUGUAAUUCAUAUUUUGUCCAUAUCCUCGUCGUUGAAGUCGCAUAUACUACGAGCGAAAGGUGGUGAAUAGCCUCAAUGCAUUAGCGUGUCACCUUUUACUAACAGAUGCCGGCUCGUCCGUUAUGCAUUUUUUUCCUUUAGACAUUUCGCGUUAAGCAUACCUGUAUGUAUAUACUUACCUAUCAACCGAAAAGUUUUCAGCUAACAAAUUAUUUGUUCUCUGUACAGUUAUCGCGAGUGUAUGUUUUUCAAAGUGGAAACGAAAAGAUGGGUGCAUAAAUAUAUUAUUUCUUAUCUCUGCAAUUAUAUAAUAACGUAAGAGUCAAGAAAAUAUGUCUUUUAUUCUUCCAUUAGUCAGUAAGUAUAUCUAUCUAUAUGUAUA